GAUGAACGCUGGCGGCGUGCCUAAUACAUGCAAGUCGAGCGAACGGACGAGAAGCUUGCUUUUCUGAUGUUAGCGGCGGACGGGUGAGUAACACGUGGAUGACCUACCUAUAAGACUGGGAUAACUUCGGGAAACCGGAGCUAAUACCGGAUAAUAUUUUGAACCGCAUGGUUCAAAAGUGAAAGACGGUCUUGCUGUCACUUAUAGAUGGAUCCGCGCUGCAUUAGCUAGUUGGUAAGGUAACGGCUUACCAAGGCAACGAUGCAUAGCCGACCUGAGAGGGUGAUCGGCCACACUGGAACUGAGACACGGUCCAGACUCCUACGGGAGGCAGCAGUAGGGAAUCUUCCGCAAUGGGCGAAAGCCUGACGGAGCAACGCCGCGUGAGUGAUGAAGGUCUUCGGAUCGUAAAACUCUGUUAUUAGGGAAGAACAUAUGUGUAAGUAACUGUGCACAUCUUGACGGUAUCUAAUCAGAAAGCCACGGCUAACUACGUG
rnacentral:rRNA from 1 species